AUUGAACGCUGGCGGCAGGCCUAACACAUGCAAGUCGAGCGGAUGAAGGGUGCUUGCUCCUGGAUUCAGCGGCGGACGGGUGAGUAAUGCCUAGGAAUCUGCCUGGCAGUGGGGGAUAACGUCCGGAAACGGGCGCUAAUACCGCAUACGUCCUGAGGGAGAAAGUGGGGGAUCUUCGGACCUCACGCUAUCAGAUGAGCCUAGGUCGGAUUAGCUAGUUGGUGGGGUAAAGGCCUACCAAGGCGACGAUCCGUAACUGGUCUGAGAGGAUGAUCAGUCACACUGGAACUGAGACACGGUCCAGACUACUACGGGAGGCAGCAGUGGGGAAUAUUGGACAAUAGGCGAAAGCCUGAUCCAGCCAUGCCGCGUGUGUGAAGAAGGUCUUCGGAUUGUAAAGCACGUUAAGUUGGGAGGAAGGGCAGUAAGUUAAUACCUUGCUGUUUUGACGUUACCAACAGAAUAAGCACCGGCUAACUUCGUG
rnacentral:rRNA from 1 species